UACAGAGGUCUCAAGCGUUGUUCGGAUUCAUUGGGCGUAAAGGGUGCGUAGGCGGCGCGGUAAGUCGGGUGUGAAAUCUCGGAGCUUAACUUCGAAACUGCAUUCGAUACUGCCGUGCUUGAGGACUGGAGAGGAGACUGGAAUUUACGGUGUAGCGGUGAAAUGCGUAGAUAUCGUAAGGAAGACCAGUGGCGAAGGCGGGUCUCUGGACAGUUCCUGACACUGAGACACGAAGGCCAGGGGAGCAAACGGG
rnacentral:rRNA from 1 species